rnacentral:snRNA from 1 species
AGCACUGCUCUUCCAUUAUUUCUGACUUCGAAUUUGCCUUUUACCAAUUCAAACAGGGAUGGAGAGCAAAGACAGUGCCUACUCAAAUCUUUGGAACACACUUGAACGUUUGA